rnacentral:rRNA from 1 species
GAUGAACGCUGGCGGCGUGCUUAACACAUGCAAGUCGAGCGAAGCACUUAAGUUCGAUUCUUCGGAUGAAGACUUUUGUGACUGAGCGGCGGACGGGUGAGUAACGCGUGGGUAACCUGCCUCAUACAGGGGGAUAACAGUUAGAAAUGGCUGCUAAUACCGCAUAAGACCACAGUACUGCAUGGUACAGUGGUAAAAACUCCGGUGGUAUGAGAUGGACCCGCGUCUGAUUAGGUAGUUGGUGAGGUAACGGCCCACCAAGCCGACGAUCAGUAGCCGACCUGAGAGGGUGACCGGCCACAUUGGGACUGAGACACGGCCCAGACUCCUACGGGAGGCAGCAGUGGGGAAUAUUGCACAAUGGGCGAAAGCCUGAUGCAGCGACGCCGCGUGAAGGAUGAAGUAUUUCGGUAUGUAAACUUCUAUCAGCAGGAAAGAAAAUGACGGUACCUGACUAAGAAGCCCCGGCUAACUACGUGCCAGCAGCCGCGGUAAUAC